CAAAUGCAUUAAUUAGGGUCCAGCACCCAGCCUAGAGACUUCCACAAAUGCAGUAGUUAUUUCGUCACGGGGACUGAAUGCGGAGAAAGUAGCCACACCGUUAUAGGCAAUUGUUAUACCCUUGUGAUCCUGCAGAAAACCUGUUUCUUAAAUGUGCUUCCCCCCUCUUUCUUUCUAUGUACUUUCAGUGCCUUGCAGAACUAGGAGUAGCGUGCUGACUUUGAACACGUGGUAGAUAUUUCAGAAAGGUAAAAUUGUUAGGCUUGUGGAUUUGACAGAUACAAAAUACAGUUGCUCAGACAACUAAAGCAUUUAUUUUAAUAAUUGGACUAAUGUUUCAUUUGAUAACAUACUAAAAAAUAAAACAGGUUGGGCGCAGUGCUCACGCCUGUAAUCCCAGCACUUUGGGAGGCCAAGGCGGCGGAUUACGAGAUCAAGAGAUCGAGACCAUCCUGGCCAACAUGUUGAAACCCCAUCUCUACUAAAAAUGCCAAAAUUAGCUGGACGUGCUGGCGUGCGCCUGUAGUCCCAGCUACUCGGGAGGCUGAGGCAGAAUUGCUUGAACCCGGGAGGCGGAGGCUGCAGUGAGCUGAGAUUGCACCAUUGCACUCCAGCCUGGCAACAGAACGAGACUCCAUCUCAAAAAUAAAAUAAAAUAAAAUAAAAUAAAAUAAAAUAAAAUAAAGCAGAGUAUUUGAGACAUAGAAAACAAUAAAUUACGAUGACUCUGCACUCUGAGUAGAAGUAAAAAUAAGCCAACUUGUUAAUCUUUUUAUGUUUCAACUUACUGCCCGGUGAGCGUGGUGGAAAAUUCCUUGCAUGCAGCUGUGCCAGGGAAGGACAGCCAGCUUCCUUUCUCUAGGUUACAGCAGGGAAGGACAGCCGGCUCCUUUCUCCAGGUCACAGGAUCUGCUCUGCUUGGAUUUGAUACGGUGGUUAGUGCAGCCCAUAGUCCAGUUGCUGCAGCAAAAGUUGCUUGAGUCUUUGAUAGGAGAGGACACUUGAAAGCAGGAAAUGAGAAACACAUUUUGAUCUUUAUGUAGGAGCUCAUUGUUCCUGACUCUCUCCUGGGAUAAAGGACAGGGAAGAGUGGACUUUUUUGCACUUCUAGUUCCUUCUCCCUGUAGCUGUAGUCGUAGCAAGUAAAGGGGUUGUACUGAUGCUUUUUAAGGCAUAUUAUCAACAUACAGCCAUGACUUGUCCAGAGAAUCUCACCUGACAAAAACUCAGAGAAGAAAGAGAAAGAAGAUGAAAUGGCUGGUUUUCAGGUAAAUGUGUCCCAGUUCAAGGGCUGUGACAUGGAUAGACUGCAUGGUGGUGAAGUCAGGGCUUUUAGGGUAUCCAUCAUCAGAAUAACAUACAUGUCUCUGAAUUUUGAUAUUAGCCAUCCUAACAAGUGUGAAAUGAUAUGUCAUCAUUGUUUCUAUUUGUAUUUGCUUCAUGAUUGAAGAUGUUGAGCAGCUUUUCAAAUACUCUUAGUUUACGUCUUCACUAAAAAAAUAUUUCUUUACCUGUCUUUUAAUCAUGUUAUCAUUACUGUCAUUAUUAUUGUUGUUUUGGUUUUUUAUUUGUAUGAGUUCCUUACAUAUUUUGGAUAUUAACCACUUAACAGUGGUUUGCAAAUAUUUUCUCCCAACCUGUAAGUUUUCUUAUUGUUUUCUGUUUAUAAGUUUUUUAGUUUGAUGUAGUCCAACUUUUUUAUAUUUGCCUUUGUGGCGCACUUUUUGUGUCAGAUCCAAAAAAAUACUGUCAAGACCAAUAUAAAGGAGGUUGACCACAUUUUGUUUUCUUUUAGGAUUUUUAAGAAUUCAUGUGUUUUAUUUGUCCUUAUUUUGAGUUAAUUUUGGGAUAUGAUGUAAGAAAAAUCAUCUAAUUUUAUUCUUUUGCUUGUGGA
rnacentral:lncRNA from 10 species